rnacentral:rRNA from 1 species
GAGUUUGAACCUGGCUCAGGAUGAACGCUGGCAGCGUGCCUAAUACAUGCAAGUCGAGCGAACCACUUCGGUAGUGAGCGGCGAACGGGUGAGUAACACGUAGGUGAUCUGCCCAUCAGACGGGGACAACGAUUGGAAACGAUCGCUAAUACCGGAUAGGACGAAAGUUUAAAGGUGCUUCUGGCACCGCUGAUGGAUGAGCCUGCGGCGCAUUAGCUAGUUGGUAGGGUAAAGGCCUACCAAGGCGACGAUGCGUAGCCGACCUGAGAGGGUGAACGGCCACACUGGGACUGAGACACGGCCCAGACUCCUACGGGAGGCAGCAGUAGGGAAUCUUCGGCAAUGGGCGAAAGCCUGACCGAGCAACGCCGCGUGAAUGAUGAAGGCCUUCGGGUUGUAAAAUUCUGUUAUAAGGGAAGAACGACUUUAGUAGGAAAUGGCUAGAGUGUGACGGUACCUUAUGAGAAAGCCACGGCUAACUACGUGCCAGCAGCCGCGGUAAUACGUAGGUGGCGAGCGUUAUCCGGAAUUAUUGGGCGUAAAGAGCGCGCAGGUGGUUGAUUAAGUCUGAUGUGAAAGCCCACGGCUUAACCGUGGAGGGUCAUUGGAAACUGGUCGACUUGAGUGCAGAAGA